rnacentral:piRNA from 1 species
UUCUGCAUCUUUUCUGAUCACCCCCGU